rnacentral:piRNA from 1 species
UGAGCUGGUGCUAACCCCAUACAAGAUCC